rnacentral:lncRNA from 10 species
AUCAUCCGCCCUCCUCCCGCGGAGCGCCGCAGCCGCCGCGGCCAAUCCGGCGGCAGGUGGGGCCGCACCUGCGCGACAGCCCGCCGCUUCCCUCCGCUCCCUUCGCCGCGCCUCGCGUGCUAGCGGUGCCCUUGUGAGCCACUGCGUUCUCCAAGGCCAGAACGGGACAGUUGACGAUGGUCGUACUUCUCCAUGUUCUGAGACCAGUUUAAACAAAAACAAAAACCAGACAACAACCUUGCAAGGGAAAGAAUUCAGAGUAAAUAAACAGUCUUUUUCUGGGAAGUAAAAUAUUUCCCUAAGAUGGAGAAAUUGAGAUGAGAGCUCAUCCACAAGAUUACCCAUCAAUGAGCACCAAUAGCAACCAAAUCCACUAGAAGACUGGGAGCUUUUAAGUCAAGAAACUUACAUCAGUAUCAUCAUUCCAAGAAGCGGUAUCCAAGCUGUUUUAUCGAAAGUGCGCAUGGGAGAUAAGACUCUGAGAAUUUAUAGAAACAAACAUUAGAAGGCAGGAAUGUGGAGAGAAGAAAGCUACCUGACAAGGGAAUCUCAGGAUACAAGGAAAACACCAAGGAAUGUAAAUCUCUGUUUACCACAAGCCCUCUGUCUCCACAAGUUCUGUGUCCAGAACUGAAGGCAGAUCCAAAUACAAUAUUCAUGGGAUGCAAAUUCCCAUGUAUGCCAAGAGAUAACUGCUUUAUUGGAGGCCUAGUGGGGAACUGAAACUCCCACUCCUGCUUAGCAGGAAUGAGAAGCCCCCUUUCAGAGGUCAACAGAAGCUGAGUUAAGAAACCUGAACUUUUACCCUACCUGGCAGUAAUGAAGCGACACCCACCUUCGUCUGUGAGGAUGGUGUGAGAUGAAGGUAGCUAAAACAAAAGGUUUAAAUAAGAUUCAGAGUCUCAUCAUAUUGAAAUGUCCAUAUUUCAGUGGAAAAUUACUCAUCAUACAAAAAC